UGUGCUUCUCGGGGGAAAGGGAAGGAGGAGAGGGGCUGAUGGGCACAGCGAGCUGGGGCUAUGGAGGGGUGUGUGCGUGUGUGUGUGUGUGUGUGCGUGUGUGUCAGUCACUUGGGGCGCUGAUGGAAUGCCUGUGGCUGGCAGAGCUCCGAGCUGGAGUGUGGAUGUGUCUGUGAACAGGUCUGGAGGAGAGGGUAAGACAGGCUGUUUGACUGUGUGGGUGUGUGCACGCAUGUGUAUAGUAGGACUUUCUGUUGUUGGUUAAACAACCUGUUUCUAUUUCCCCCAGCUAGAACCUGGCUCCCUGGAGCCAGAGUUUUAUUAAUUGCUCAUUCUGUUCACACCUCUGGCAGACAGGACCCUAGGAGGCUAGGAACUAAUUAUGUGCCAAAGAAGCCCCUCCUGGUUCUGUCCUCUGGAGCGACACCUGGGUGUGCGGCCCACCUCUCUUCCACAGUCAGGAGGCCCAGAGGAGGCAGGGCUCUGCCAUUCCCGGGGCAUGGAGGAAAAGAAACAGCCUCUCCUGCUGCAAAAUCACUUUGCCCUUCUCUUCUUGUGGCCCCGCGUCAGCGUGACGGGGCCGUCGCUGUCAUCAGCCCUCACUAGCUCCCAAGGUGCCUUCCUUGACACAACAUUGCUGCGCUGUGGCUACAGCGGUGAACAACACUGUGAUUUCUGCCCCCACACACUGGAUCGGACACUCCAGGGCGACGGGAGGAAGCUCCACACACAAGCCCCGAUCGCCGAGAUCCACAGAGGAAGCCAAGAGGAAUUCACAUUUGGCUCUCAGGGUUAUAUCACCUUCCCUCAGCACCUCCCUCAAAGGCCCCUGGGUGAUACGCCCACCUCAAAACUAUCUCACUCCUUGAGGCUGAGAUCUGGGAGACACUGGGAAAAGUGGGUGAGGUCAACAAGCUGGAUGGCCCUUAGAAGCUUCCAUUCCUCAGGACUGAGAGAUCCAGACACUCCAUUCCUGAGCUCGGGCUGGGACCCACUCACGCUUCCAGUUCAGGGUCCCUGCAUCUAAGGGGCCACUUGAUGUACUGAGGCCCCAGGGACCGACCGUCAGGCAUCGAGCUCCCAAACCAGCCAUGUUCAGAUAGAAUCCAAAGCCCUGUGCAGAGAAGCCCGGUCAGGUCUGGCAGGGCCCUCGCUCAGAAGCCCCCGACCCAGCGAGCCGCCCAUCAGCCCGCUCACGGAACUCGGCUCACCGGCCACUGAAGAAAUCCCUACCUGACCCGCCGAUCAGCCCGAAACUUCAACAUCCUUUUGGCAGCUCUGUCCCCUGUUCGGCAGCCUCAGAGGACCUGCCAGCCACCCUGCUCCUACCAUCCCUCUGAGAAGCCCCAGUCAUUUCCAAAAGGGCAGGAAUAGGGCGUCCUCUGCCAAGCAAGCUUGGAAUGUCCUGAAAUGCUAGGCCACUGGGCUGAGCGGCUAAAAUCUUGGAUUAUCUUAUCCUCAAACUGAUGACGACGGCGACGACGAUGACGAUUUUACUUUAUGUGAUUCCAUUCAUCUUCCGAAAAAUGAAGAUAACCGGGGUGGAUAUUCAGCACAGCCAUGCUAUGUUAUGAAAACGUUGAAAUUCUCCCUUAUUGGUCAGUAAAGAGCAGCUCUACCAAGCCUCUUGAGCGCCCCCUCCUCACCUCCCCACCGGUGCCUGCCCCGCCCCCCCGAGAUCCAAAGACACCACGGGGGAGGGGGGGCCCACAGGACUCCAGGCCCCUGCCCUUUCUGGUCGACGAAUUACUGAACGUCAUUCCUGAAGCCGCCAUUCCUUAACUGUCAGAACACCAAUGGCCCUUGCAAGCGUCAAGAUAGGGAUUCUGGGCCUAGAAGUUGUGAUGUGCAGGACGCAGGACGAGAGGGGCCUUUCCCGCUUGUCCACCCCACGCCUGACCCAACUUGGGAGAACUGGGGCAACGCAGCUCCCUGGGGCUCCUCACCUUCCUUGCCCUCACGCUUUGGUGUUGUUCCCUGCUGAAGGGAAAGGACAUUUAGGAAGGACUGUCAUUCUGGCUCCACCUUCCCUCCUCACAGCCUUUCCUGAGUGGUGAAGCCUGAUGGGAGCAGGGGGAAGGCCCCAGACUCCUCCCUCAGUCUCCAAGCCGCCUUCUCCUGACAGUCAGCAAGAGUCCCACGAGAUAAAGGGGCAGGAUACUAAUUAAUUACUGUCUUCCCCCCCCCCCCCCCGGCUCUGAGCUAAAUCCCAAAACCCCAACCUUUCAGAAGCUGAGGCGGCCCAGCUGUCUGCUUCCGAGCCUCCAGAAGGUCAUUGGAACCAGCUCUCUUCAUUCCUAGCUCAGCAGAUUUGGUUCUGGUGUCCCAGACAACAGUCCCACCCCACCUCACCCCAAGGGAAAGCAUUCGGCAGAGAAAGAAGAGGGACAAAGCUUCAUGAUUCAGAGGGGAGACACCUGCUCCACCAGGCUGGCUGUAAGAACACAGGGAUAAAAGACACAAACCCUCUUACUUGUAAGCCCGUGGGCCAUAGGUCUGGGGACUGUGUGUGACAUGGAGCGGGGGCGAGGGGGUACCCACGAAUGUUAGUCCGACAACACCUGCCUAGGUGCGGAGAUGCGGAAGGGCAGCCGCAUACAAACUGCUUACCGCCUGGGCCUUCUCGGUUGCUGUUGGCCAGCACCUCACACACAGUAGGAACGGAAUGGGUGAUGGCCGUGGUUGCAGAGGCAGUGGGAGGAGUGGACGUGUGCCAUUGCACUUUGGGAGAUGGAACUGUGAGUGAGAGAGGCAGGAGGGCUCAGCUUCCGGUCCCUCUCGCUGGGGGAUGUGAAGGCAGGUUCCAUAUGCUCCGGGGCCCCCUCCUCUCCUCCCCGCUCCCAACUGGCCAGCCCACGCUGAUAAGAGUCUAUGAAGCAGGGGCUUUGUCUGGGGGAGAGGAGAGCAGUAAAUCAAUGGGAGCAGAGAGCAGGGGCCUGGACAAUUGCUUCUGGGGGGGAGGAGCCCUCAUCUCAGGGAGGCGCAUGGAGCAAGGGGGGACAAAGGCAGGCGGAUGGCAGCAAAGCUUUAGUGUUAGCAUCACCCCUCACCUGCCCCGGGGGGGCCAAGCCGGCCCCUCCCCCCAGGGAGGGCUCAGCUGCUCAUCUCUCCUAGACUGGGGGACACAGAUGGAUUGUGGGAAAUUCCGAACACCUCCUUCUGCUGGGAGUGAGGAGUCUGGAACUUCCCACGUGCUUGGGGAGCUUGCCAAGGGCUCUGAGGGCAGAGGCAUCUCCCCAGAUUGCUGUCUGCUGUAGGGAGGAUCCAAAGUGAUCCUGGGAACGCAGGCCACCAGUGGAACGGGCCAGAAAAUGGCUGUACCUGGGGAAGGUCAUUGCCGUCUUCCCCCUCUGUGGACUGAGGACAGCUGUAGAGUGCUCCCCCUGCUAUCCCAGAGAGGAGAAGUGAGAUCUAGAAAGGAAAGGACUUAGAGAACUAUUGAAGAAGGCUGUCCCAUAGAGUCAAAGAAUGGAGAGUGUGUGGGUUAUCCUUAUGGAAAAGGGUGAGGGCAGUGGUUUCCCCAUCUGUAACAAAGUGACACCAGAGAUGUUAAGUUAAACAAGAUCACAUGUUGGAAGCACAGAGGAAAAUGCCUGGCACAUAAGCAUUCCUCGGCAAAUUGCUGAAGUUAUAAUCAUUAAUAGAUUAAAGGGAUCACAUAAAACAAGUAGCAUUAUUCUUUUUUUUUUUUUUAAUUUUUUUUCCACGUUUAUUUAUUUUUGGGACAGAGAGAGACAGAGCAUGAAUGGGGGAGGGGCAGAGAGAGAGGGAGACACAGAAUCGGAAGCAGGCUCCAGGCUCUGAGCCAUCCGCCCAGAGCCCGACGCGGGGCUCGAACUCACGGACCGCGAGAUCGUGACCUGGCUGAAGUCGGACGCCCAACCGACUGCGCCACCCAGGCGCCCCCAAGUAGCAUUAUUCUAAAGCUGUGCCGUCCAGUUUAGUAGCCAUUAGUCAUAUGGGACUAUUUACAUUGGAAUUAAUUAAGAUGAAAUAAAAUUAAAAUGCCAGUUCCUCGUCAUGCUAGCCACAUC